UGGGGAAUUUUGGACAAUGGGGGAAACCCUGAUCCAGCCAUCCCGCGUGUGCGAUGAAGGCCUUCGGGUUGUAAAGCACUUUUGGCAGGAAAGAAACGUCGCGGGUUAAUACCCCGCGAAACUGACGGUACCUGCAGAAUAAGCACCGGCUAACUACGUGCCAGCAGCCGCGGUAAUACGUAGGGUGCAAGCGUUAAUCGGAAUUACUGGGCGUAAAGCGUGCGCAGGCGGUUCGGAAAGAAAGAUGUGAAAUCCCAGAGCUUAACUUUGGAACUGCAUUUUUAACUACCGGGCUAGAGUGUGUCAGAGGGAGGUGGAAUUCCGCGUGUAGCAGUGAAAUGCGUAGAUAUGCGGAGGAACACCGAUGGCGAAGGCAGCCUCCUGGGAUAACACUGACGCUCAUGCACGAAAGCGUGGGGAGCAAACAGGAUUAGAUACCCUGGUAGUCCACGCCCUAAAACGAUGUCAACUAGCUGUUGGGGCCUUCGGGCCUUGGUAGCGCAGCUAACGCGUGAAGUUGACCGCCUGGGGAGUACGGUCGCAAGAUUAAAACUCAAAGGAAUU
rnacentral:rRNA from 1 species